GCGGUGUGCCUGGCGUUUGAGUUGGUUUGCUUUAGUUUUAGUGUGUGGACCAGUGCAACACCAAGCAAAGAAGUACCUUUUUGUUAAUGUAAAGUGAGUCGUGUAUGAUAUUUUCUAAAGCUUUGAGGUCAGCACUAAUGCAGCGGCUGAGAUCAGAGCUUCUUGAAUGACCUGCCUUGCUAAUGAGUGACAACAACAUGAGGAAAUCCCUUUCCCGGCCUGGAAAGGGAUUUAUUGGGAAUCAUAGAGACUCAUUAUACACACAUGUAGUUUGCAAUUUUUCAACAACAAAAAAAAUAGACCUAAAUUGAAUCUGUCUACAUAAUAACAUACUUUAGAUAUCUGAACUUCCGUAUAACUAAAAUAGUGGUUUUUAGUUGUCAGUGGAGUUCAGACAAACACCUUGAUUUACAUUCUGAGCUGGCGGUAAUGGUUUAUACACGGUAAGAGUCUUAGCAAACGGCUGGAGAACCGCUCGUUAAAAGACUAAAGAGAUCAUCUUGUAAAAUCCUCACAAGUGACGUGGAUCAAGGAUAAUGGCAGCUGGGGGUGGAGGAUUUUGAGGAGGGAAAACGCUGGUGCCGGUAAACGACCUUGGAUGUAUACGGUCAUUUAGGCACCAUGAGAUUAACUGGACAUUGACACACAAACAUCUUGAUUAUCAUUUGACCCAGAACACAGCGGGCCUCUGUGCGAGAGGCCACUCGUCUCCAAGAUUGAAACGUUAUUUGAGUUUUCCCAACACAAGGUUCUUUUUAUAGUCACUGUCCCUUAGGGUACAAUAAGGAAAUGCGGAUUAAAAUCCUGUUUUGCUUCACUAGAAGAACACAAAAAAUAUAUUAUGGAGAGUGGUG
ensembl:lncRNA